GUUCAACACCGGAUCUCACUUCUCAUACCUUGAAGCCCUCGAUUUAAAAUACCUAUGUGGACACUCACCGGGUCACGUCAAAGGGUUUAGAGUUACCAGGAGUUCAGGAGAUCUGGACCAUGAAACUUCAGCUGGUUUCUGUCACAAGUAAUCACCUUGUCCAGGUGAUAUGCUCUAGCAGACCGAGGGUAGGUGGGUGGGAUGUCUCCUAGGUGUGCAGGUGACUGGGGGAGUCAUGCGUGGUCAGCUGUUAAAUCCCCUCACUCGGUGUGUGGGGCUGGUGACCACUGUGCUUCAUUAGCUGGUGGAUCAGUAUCUUCAGUUGCUUUAGCACGGAUGUUCUCAUCUGGAUGCUGCAAUAUAGAACCAUUCACUUCAUUACCUGUUGUGUCAGGUGCGGUGCAGCUGAACACAGUUAACUCAUGCCAUUGUCCUGGCCCUUACUCCCUAAUGGGGAAUCCAGUAUGUUUUAUCUAUAAUUCAUAUGACAGAUUUUUCUGGUAGAGGAUGUCCACUUAGUUAAUUGGCCUUUGUUUAUGGCUGCAGUGUUCAGUCCACUGGGGAGAGAGCUGCAGUGGUUCCACCUCUGUUUCAACAUGGCUGAAAAGUGGUAGUGAGGGGCAGGGAACCUUCUAGAAAAGGAUCCAGGCCUUGUUGAUCUCAGCUUCUGCCCCCUGCUAGGUUUAGUCCCAAGCUGUCUGUGCAGCAAAGAGGUGAGUGCUUGCUGACUGCAGUCUUUGCCAUUAUAACCUCAUGUCCUGCAACUUCCCAUGCAAACGUUUGUCCAAAACUAUGACUUUGCCCAUAAGCACAUAGGAGCCUGCCACAGGGAGAGCUUCCCCGGGGAAGCACGGGCAGCGCAGAGGAGGCAGGGUCCGGGGGUCGGGGGGUGGGGGGGAAGCCGGGGCACGACGGUCGCUUUGCCCCGCUGGGCCUGGCAGCACCCGCCCGGGCAGCCGCCGCUGCGGCCGGCGGCCGCGGGGAGGAGACGGAGGACCGGGGAUGCGGGAGCCGGGCCCGGCCCGGCCGAGGGAGGCGGCCGGGAGGAGCACCGGCGUGGCGGGCCUUCGCCCGUGGAGGCCGCCUCAGCGGGGGGCUGGGGACCCGUGGCCGCGCCUACACGAGGACCCUUGGGUGCCGCCAUCCCUUCCCCUCGCCUUUCUCUCCGCAAGGGAGGUUUCCCUCUUUGCCGCCCCAAGGGUUCGCUGCCCAGUGUCCCUGGCUAGCAGCAGCGCAGGGCUGUGUCGCGGGGUGGCAGGGCAUGGGAUGAAAGGGUGGGAGUCUCUUUGCCUGCUGGCCGGCAAGGCAGCCCAUGGGACCUGCUCUAGGGUCCCUCGCCCUGGUCUAGCCUUUGUGGGAGCAAACUGCAGCCACAUUUCACCUGCUAGUUAGGGGGAGGGUUCAAUCGCAUCGGCUCCCCUCCUUGGAGCUCUCAUUAUGGGCCAGUUUGCGGAGAUGUGGUUUGGUACCCGGCAGGGUUUAUUCCCUGUCUUUUCUCAGCCACUUCCUGGAGAGCACAGGGUGCCCAGGGAAGGAACUGUGAGGGCAGGUCCCAUGUCCCCAGGUAGGGCGGCAGCAGGACACGGCCAAGGGCACACCUGACGAGGCUACAUGUGUUCUUCGGCCCUCAGACUUGCCUGGCGUCCUGGCCACACUGGCCGCUUUCACAUGCUAUGUUGCGCUGCUGUCCCCAACUCUCACCCUGGCCGGGGGGCACCAGUCGCUGCCAGGGGAAAGAGAUGGUGUUUUGUUCCCUGGCUCACUCCUGUCCAGUGGCUGGUCAUGCACACACAGGGCCCUUUCAGCAUGGGGAGAGGAGCGUGGUGGCAUCUGGGAAUGCAGGGAACAAAGAGUCCCAUUGAUGCUGGCUGCAGCCCCAUGGGUUUCUGUGAGCUGGGGCAAGGCCGGUGUGCAGGCACAGCUGUGCGCUGAGCUGGGGCAGCAGCAAUGCAUGAGGUAAACCUCCCCUGGCCGGGCUGCAUGGGAAGCCUUAUUGCCUGCCCGGAGGGGGCUGAAGCCAGGGGACAGAGGAGAGAGUGGGAUUUGGGCUAGCAUCCCAUUUAGGAAGUGCAGCAUGGGUCCUGGCUGUGGGUAGGUAACAGCCUGCUGGCUCUUAGCCUGCCCUGCCGAUCAUGGGCACCUAGCUGUGCCUGAAAUCUGCCUCUCAGGCAGAUCUGCUACAAACGGGAGUAGUGCUGGGGUUUGAGUGUGGGGCUAAGAGCAUCCCUCUGUGGCCUUGCUCCCCGGAGGCUCCUGAGCACAGUUCUUGAGGGGAAUUUCCAAGAGAAGCAACGUCUGAAUCGAUAAUUUUUGAGUAGCUGCCAUGGAAAUGUGCAUCUACAGGCAGUGUUUGGAUCAAGGGCAGAAAAACACCAUCCAAUGGUCUCCCCACAUGCCAGCACUGUGCAAACUGUUAACAACCCUGCAGCAGAUGGCACGCAGCCACCCACACAGUGUGCAGACGGGACAUGUAGGGCCCUGUGAUAGUUGAGUCUGCCCUCGUGCCUGAAAAAGACCAUCCUAUUUCACACAGGGCUCUCUGCAAGUGAGAGAAUGGUGCAUCCUGCAUGGCUCUGGAUGUGCUUGUACUACAUGCAUUGCCUGAUGUGAGCCAGCAAGCUUUGUUUGAGCCAUGCUGAUUAGUUUUGCUGCGGUUUUGCUGUAGGUGCUACGUUAGGAGAUGUGGCAGAGGCUGUCACCACAUAAGGCUGAGUAUUAAAGGACAGCGGCACAUUGCCAAACAUGAGCAAGCAGCUCCUACAAGACCCCAGCUUUCCUCUGGGUGGCUGAAGAAGAAAUAGAGGUUUUAAGAGCUCCCCAGCUGGGAACCAAGAUUUUGAAGUCAGAGUUAUGAACCUCAUGGCUGGGGUGGGAAGGAGGGGUGGGCAGAGUCCUGCAGGGGCUGCUGGCCCACACAUGGGGCUGGUGAGUACUGCUCCUCUGCAACCUUCUCCUCUGCAGCCUCCCUAUUCAUGGGGUUUCUUUGGCACGGGGUGGGGGGGAAAUCCUGCACAACAAAUGGACGGACAGACAUAUAUCUUGUUCAGAAUGUUCUUAAUUUUAAUUUAUUUCCUUUAAUUUUUAUAAAAUACAUCUUGUAAGAUAAGUCUCUAAAAACUUGCUCCUUUUUAUUGCUUGUUAACAAGUUGAAAUUCUAGAUCAGAAAUGAAGGAAACACUUUCAGUUGAUUAACUCUCCUUUUCGCGCGUGUGUGUGUGCACAUGUGUGCGUGCAUGUGUGUGUGUGUGUGUUUGGGGUCUGGGGACAAGGGUGGAAGGAGGAUCUGGUUAUUUUUUUGUUAAACAGGUACCAAAAAAACCCCCAGCAAACCCCCAAGAGAGAUAGAGUCAAUAUGAGUUUCCAGAUCUUGACUGGUUUCUCCCCACCCUGCUGUCCCUCCUGGCAUCUCCCCCAUCCCCAGCCCGUGUGCGUUGGUAGCCUGGCCAACCUAUUUCAGCAUUCCUGGCAGCAAGGGUCCUUCGAACGCUCUGCUCAGCAGAUCUGCUCCUUUAUCCUUGCCCCUGCUGAAACUGGCACUUAAAAAAAAUAUAAUAAUAAUACAGACAAAAAAAAAAUCCAUGCAAGAUGGAGCUACAGUCUGCCACUGAAAGUAGUUUCUCCAAUAAAUAAACACAAAGAUUAGCAUUAAGGAGAGGCAAGGAAGAGCAAAACAUAAUACUGGUUGGUGGGAAGGACUGGAAACAGCAUUUUGGUGGGUCUGACUGGACCCAUGCUACCCAGCCAGGGGGCUUUCCUCCAGCUGCCAUGGUGAGCGAUCAUGGGGGAGAGGUUGUUUCCACCAAACCCCUCACCCUGCUGCCCCCUUCUGUGGGAAAAGACUGAACCGGCACUGGAAAAGGUCUGGUUUGCAGAGACAGGCUGUGUUUCUGCCUCGCAACCCCCAAACCACCGCCUUUCCUCCCUCCUCAACUCCUUCAUGGGUUUUGGCUAGAAGCGAGAUGCUGCCAGUCCCUCCCGCUCUGGCAGACACAAGACAAUUGUCCUGACUUGCAGGAAGCACAGGAAGAAAAGUGAGGGGAAGAGGGGGACAGAAUGAGGGAAAGUUAUGUUUGACACAGGUGAGAAACAAAUCAAGCUCUCUGACACAGCGGAGGUUAGAGAAGCAGACAUCACCCCAGAGAAGAGCACCAUUGUGAAGGGACGAGAGCGUGCGGUGAGCGUGGCACUUGUAGGGCAGGGUGGGCAAAGGUGCACAGUCCAAAGGGUUAUCCCCUGCCUACGGAGGGACAGCUCUGGCUUUACGCUCCCAGGGCACAGCGCAGAGAUGUCCCCUCUCAAUCAAACCUAUCUGCUGCCUCUCUGCUGCCUGGAGUGUAAAGCCAGGAGUCCCCUUUUGUCUACAGAGACACCAAACUCCUUUAGGCUUUAAUAAGGGCAGCUGUUUUAGGGCUCUAUCAGCAUUGGGGUCAGGGCUCUCUUCUCUGCAAUGGGAAGAUCCUUGCCCUGAACUCCCUUUGCCUUGGCUGCAGCAGGCAAUUUGGGGUAAAUUCACCUUUCUUUGCUAAGGGAAAAAAAAUAAUCUUUCUCUUAUUCUCCAUCCAUGGGUGGUGACAGCAGACAGCUCCAGGAGAGUCUCUAGCAAUGGUACCGCGACUGGGCCAACUUCCUUUUCUCUCUAGGUAGCCUCUUGCUACUAAUGGAGCAACCUACAUGGAUUUCCUCCUCCCAGGAGCAUGAAGGACUUUGCUUGUCCCUAGGCAACAUCAGGACACUGGAGUAAGUCCCUCCUCUUCUCUGGAUGGUUUUGAUGGGCUUGGCCCUAGAGCGAACCGGUUGCGGAUGAGCAGAGAGAGAAAAGUGCAUGAAGAGGUGUCCACUGGUGGGAAGCUCUCCUUCCUGGUCACGCUCAGCAUGAUGGAUGCGAGGGAGGAAGAGGAGGGGAGUCAGCGGCGAAGGCAGAGUUAACGCAGGAGACCUGGUGUCGGGUGGCUGCAGUGUUAAAGCCUCGGGGUUAGAGAAAAGAAGGGCAUUUGGUCUG
rnacentral:lncRNA from 1 species